UACGAAGGGGGCUAGCGUUGUUCGGAAUUACUGGGCGUAAAGGGCGCGUAGGCGGCUCGUCAAGUCAGGCGUGAAAUCCCCGAGCUUAACUUGGGAAUAGCGCUUGAGACUGGCGAGCUUGAGUCCGGGAGAGGUGAGUGGAAUUCCCAGUGUAGAGGUGAAAUUCGUAGAUAUUGGGAAGAACACCAGUGGCGAAGGCGGCUCACUGGACCGGCACUGACGCUGAGGCGCGAAAGCGUGGGGAGCAAACAGG
rnacentral:misc_RNA from 1 species